rnacentral:tRNA from 1 species
GUUGGGGUGGCAGAGACAGGUGACUGCAAAAGAUCUAAGCCCUUUAAAUCAGAUGUUCAAAUCAUCUCCCCAACC